UUGAGUCUGGGCCUAGCCCUGCAGAUGCCAGCCUCAGAGGUUGCUAGGAUACACCGCUCCCAGAGCCUCCUCAGAGCUGCAUCCUUCUGGAGCAGCUCAGGGACACUGAUGGGCUGUCUGUGCAGUGGGGAGGUGGGAGGAGGAGUGGCACCCCACAGACAGGCCUGCAAAGAAGGGGUUGGUCCGCACUCCUCCCGGAGCUCCAUGGAGCAGGGAAAAUGUCACCCCAGAAGCACCUGUAUACAGGGAUCAAUUCGGACCGCCCACAGUGAAGGCCACUCUGAAUUGUAAAAGUUCCCCAGUCUUAUUCUUCACUGUACUUGCAUUUCUUCUGCAACAUGUCCUUCUAUAUAUAAUUCAGAAAACAUAACCUGAAUGGACGAAUGCCAGCCCUCUCCCCAGCUCCUGUCUGCCUGGUAAACUUCUGGUUCACCAUAAGGCUCAGCAAUGAGCUGUAUCCUCAUCCUCAACCCAGCCUUCAGGACUCCCUCCCUGUGCUCCAGAUGCCCACGCUGACCUCUGCUCACACUCACAGCAGCAUUGCAAGUGCCUGUUUCCCCACUGGGUCUCGUUCUCCUCUGCACUCCUAGCACUUAGCACAACGCCUUGCAUAGGUCAUCUUGAAUGCAUAUGUGAAAGUGUCCUGCUUGCAUGCCUCUGGAGACAGGGAGCUCACUAUCACAAGACCGCUCAUUCUGACAACUUCAAAGUUCUUCCUUAAACACAGCUGAAAUCUACCUGUCAGAAACUUCUACCUGGGAACCUUAGGGAGGCUGCCAGUGCCACACUGAACCAGCCAGCUGCCUCUUCCACAAGACCACUCUUCAGAGUUGACUCUCUCUCCAUUGUCCUCUGCAGCACCCACCAAAAGGUAGUGGGAUAUGGGUCAGACAUUCACAUUCUAAGUCACCAAGCUUGGCUCCCAGGAAGCCUCCCUAAGGUUAGAGGUUCUGGUCCUACUACUCCCUCAGAUACCUGCACCCUCACCCUGGUCCCACUGGGACAUCACCCCAACGGCCCAGAACUGUAGGGCACAAGUCUCGACGCCAGAGAACCCAGGUGGAGGGUAGAGGGUGGGCCUUGCAGCCUCCCUGGGUGUGAGAGUAUCUGUCGCCACCCUUUCCUGAUGCAGGUUAGGGGAUGCCAAGUCCUAAAGAGGAGGCAGUUUUCUCAAAAAUCACCCAGGGAAUCUGUGCUGAUCUCAAACUAGAGCUGAGAGAGGGAGAGACGCAGGCAAGGAAGAGGAGGGAGCAAUGCGCUAGGAUCAAAUUCCACAGUUGACCUGACAUAAGCCAGCUCACUGUGAUUUACGCGCCACCGUCCUUGGGGUGGCAGAAGAGCUGAAAUCCUUUCUGACAUCUCAGGACCAAACUUGUCAAAUCUCAGCAACAGCUUUUCCCCAUCAGCACCCCAGGCUCUCUGAAGACUGUUCCUCGGAAUAGCCUGGAGCUGCCGAGCCAGCCGCGACGGCUCCCGCCAGACUACACGCCUGGCUAAGAGCUCAAACGAGUCACAAUGGGGAGGCUAGUGACCCCCAUCCAGGGACGGCUCCCGCCAGACUACACGCCGGGCUAAGAGCUCAAACGAGUCACAAUAGGGAGGCUAGUGACCCCCAUCCAUUCCCAUGGCAUCGUUUGAAGGGCUCUGGAGCCAGCCGCCUGGGUUCGAAUCCUGACUGUCCCCCUCACCAGGCUCUGGGGAGGAAAGGGAGCCCAUGGCAGACCAGACCCCUGGCCGGCCAGGGUCCCCGGGGUCUGCGAGGAGGACGUUCAUGGGCGAGUGUGUGGUGGUGGGUGAACUGCGGCAGAACCCGAGAUUAACAGCUGGAACCCUCUCCUCUUGCAGGUCUGGGUGAAAAGCGUGGGACCCUCAGCCCAGAGCCGCACAAGACUUGGAUUUGCUUUGGAAACCACUGUGCUUUUCAACAAGAUCGUUCAAAUGGCCUGGGUGGAGACGGGGAGCUGGAGAGUUGGGGAUGGAAGCCGAUUUUAAGCCUGGAGGAAUCCAAACUGCACACAGUAGUCCAAGGCCCUGCCCCGCCUCCGUCCACCACCAUCCUCCCCCCGCACCCCCGCCAUGAGGUCCAUGACUGUAUCCUCAUUUCACAGAUGAGGAGACAGGCACAGAGCAGCAGCCAUGGCCAUGUGGCCGGUCACGCAGUGGAGGGAGGCCCGGGGGCAGGAGAGGGGCGCCUAAGGCCACACAGCAGGGCUGCGCCGGCGCGCAUGGCUGAGAAGCAGGUUCCAGGAGUUUCUGGGAGUUCUUGCUCAACAUCAAGAAACUUCCACCAGGAUCCACGGGGGGAAGUGGAAGCAGCCUUGUGAUAGCAGUUUCAAAGGCCUGGGCUCUGGCAAAUAGGAAAAAACAGGCUGAGAAAACAUAUCAGGCAGGCCUGCUUGUGAGGGAACCUGGCAGACAUCCAACCAGCAGUCUGGUGGCCAAUUCGGUACAUCAGACAUGCGCUUAAUCCAUCAUUCGGCAGCGGGCAGGUCACUGGCCACACAGGCUUCAGACCUCCUGGCUUGAGGGAACUUGGGGUUGCCAUCAGGCCCGUAUGAAUCAGAAAUUCUGGGCUUCUCAUCCCCCACCAGGCACUCCCACACUGUCCCUCCUCUGCAUGUUUGCCUCUCCAUUCUCUCUACCUUCACUGUCUCGGUUGCCUAUGGUCACAGUGAUACUCAAUAAACCAC
rnacentral:lncRNA from 1 species